UUUAGCGGGAGAUUUGUAUUACAAGUGGCGGCCAUUUUGUUUGUUUACGGAAACGUGACGAAAGCUUAGACCUUGAACAAAAUCACGUUAUAUAUAUAUAUAUUUAUUGGCGACAUUUAAUUUCCCCACUCACGGAAUACCAUCGACAAACUGGGAUCAGAAUAUCAAAUUUCGUCUAGCUUUUGGCGACUUAUGAUACCCCUUUCACCGGCAAACACUGAAUUAUCGGACAACAUGAAAUCAGGGACUAAAUUCACCAGCAUUCAUGAUCCUCGGACCACCCGGCCCCUACGCACAGCCGAUUUAUAAAUGUUGCAUCUUUCAAUCAGUGUCAAUCCGGAAGAAGAACCCUGAUCAGCUCCUGGAAAAAUCAGUGUUCUUGCAGUAUUGUCAGUCAAAUCUCAAGGAAAGGAUCCCAGAAGAGGAACAUUUACAUUAUUUCAGACUUUUUUCUUUCCUGUGUAACAAUGCCUCAAACAGCUAACACAUUUUAUAUAUAGUAUACAAUACAAUGUGUAUUAAUAACAGUCCAGUUAGAGUGCUGUGUUAUGCGGUAAAAAUACUUAAUUCUUGAUGACAUGUUGGUUUUAUGUUUACAUUAAACGGUAGUUAUAAUAUAUACUAAAGAAACAUAGUGGAUAAUGCCUUGUACAGGAGCAGGAGUAUGACAGUGUAAUAGUACAUGACUGCUGCGUUCAUCCAUGGAAGGAAUCUGUUAUUCGAAAUAAAGUUUUCCAUAAGGAAAAAAA